rnacentral:rRNA from 1 species
GAUGAACGCUGGCGGCGUGCCUAAUACAUGCAAGUCGAGCGAACAGACGAGGAGCUUGCUCCUCUGAUGUUAGCGGCGGACGGGUGGGUAACACGUGGAUAACCUACCUAUAAGACUGGGAUAACUUCGGGAAACCGGAGCUAAUACCGGAUAACAUGUUGAACCGCAUGGUUCAACAGUGAAAGACGGUCUUGCUGUCACUUAUAGAUGGAUCAGCGCCGCAUUAGCUAGUUGGUAAGGUAACGGCUUACCAAGGCAACGAUGCGUAGCCGACCUGAGAGGGUGAUCGGCCACACUGGAACUGAGACACGGUCCAGACUCCUACGGGAGGAAGCAGUAGGGAAUCUUCCGCAAUGGGCGAAAGCCUGACGGAGCAACGCCGCGUGAGUGAAGAAGGUCUUCGGAUCGUAAAACUCUGUUAUUAGGGAAGAACAAAUGUGUAAGUAACUAUGCACGUCUUGACGGUACCUAAUCAGAAAGCCACGGCUAACUACGG